rnacentral:rRNA from 1 species
AAACGGUGGGUGCUAGGUGUGAGCGGUAUUCCACGCCGUUCGUGCCGCAGCUAACGCACUAAGCACCCCGCCUGGGGAGUACGGCCGCAAGGCUAAAACUCAAAGGAAUUGACGGGGGCCCGCACAAGCAGCGGAGCAUGUGGCUUAAUUCGACGCAACGCGAAGAACCUUACCAAGGCUUGACAUGCAGGGAAAUCCUCCAGAGAUGGGGGGUCCGUAAGGGUCCUGCACAGGUGGUGCAUGGUUGUCGUCAGCUCGUGUCGUGAGAUGUUGGGUUAAGUCCCGCAACGAGCGCAACCCUCGUUCUAUGUUGCCAGCGCGUGAUGGCGGGGACUCAUAGGAGACUGCCGGGGUCAACUCGGAGGAAGGUGGGGACGACGUCAAAUCAUCAUGCCCCUUAUGUCUUGGGCUGCACACAUGCUACAAUGGCCGAUACAAAGGGCUGCUAAGCCGCGAGGUGGAGCGAAUCCCAAAAAGUCGGUCUCAGUUCGGAUUGGGGUCUGCAACUCGACCCCGUGAAGUCGGAGUUGCUAGUAAUCGCAGAUCAGCAACGCUGCGGUGAAUACGUUCCCGGGCCUUGUACACACCGCCCGUCACGUCACGAAAGUCGG